AGUUGUUCAUUGUUAUCUAUGUAAAGGUUUUGUAGUUUCUUGCAGUAUGUUUAGUCUUUUACUUUGAUAUUAUGAUAGUGAAUGUUAACUGAUAGAUGAUUGUGAUCAUGGACUGAUUGGUUGUGUGGUAAAAUUUUGUCUUUGCAAUCGGAGAAGAAAGAUAGUGUGUGAAUCAAAGGGAAAGAGGCGAUUGGGAAGAGAGAGGAAGAGGAAGAGGAGAUCAGAGAAAUCGUAGGGAGAGAGAGAAAGAGGCGAUUUGGAAGAGAGAGGGAGAGAGGAAGAAGAGAUCAGAGAAGAAAGCGUUAAUCGGAGUUGAAUCCUUUCGUUCUCCUUCUUGGGAAGCCUUCAAUUUCUGUUAUGUUUUCGUUUAAACUGAGACUCUGAUUGCUUCUUUGGUUUUGUGGUACUGAAAUUGGUUUGCGAUUAUGGUUCAGAUCGUGAAUAGCAUAAGCAUUAGAGGUGCUUAUUAGCUGGGUUGGUUAUUGAUCUGAGGAUUAUUUUUUGUUUGCUUUUCAGGUUGUGUUGUUGCUUUGCGACCUGUUUUGAGGUUGUGUUGUUGCUUUGCGACUUGGGCUGCAAUUUCUCACUUUUUCAUAGUGUUGCUGCAGUAGAAAAGGAGGAGUUGUUGAGUUUUGGGCUUCAGGUACAUAUUGUGAACCAAAAAGCUAUGCCGCCUAAAUUCAAAACUUCCAAGAGGAAAGAGUUUUUCCAAACAUCGGAAAAUUUGCAGCAGCAACUUUCAGGUCAUGAGACAGCAGCACCUUUGCACUGUAAUGAAAUUGAGGGCACAAGCGGCUCAAAUCGAUGUAAAAAAAACAAAGGGUUAAUGAGGACAAUCCUGAUUGUAUUGACGUUUGUGAUGUCAAUGAAAGUGUAUCAGUUACCAGUUCAACCUCAUAUUGUCAGGCACUUUAUCAAAGAAGUCGUCAGGGUUUGAUGGUAGUUUACAAAGAUUCUGGUGAUAGUACGUUUGAGUGUAAUCACUGUGGAGCUUACUUUUGGAUAGGUGAGGCAUUAG